rnacentral:rRNA from 1 species
CGAAGGCAAGCGGAUCUCUUAAAGCUGUUCUCAGUUCGGACUGCAGUCUGCAACUCGACUGCACGAAGCUGGAAUCGCUAGUAAUCGCGGAUCAGCACGCCGCGGUGAAUACGUUCCCGGGCCUUGUACACACCGCCCGUCACACCAUGGGAGCCAGGAAUGCCCGAAGCCAGUGGCCUAACCGCAAGGGAGGAGCUGUCGAAGGCAGGCCCGGUAACUGGGGUGAAGUCGUAACAAGGUAAC